rnacentral:rRNA from 1 species
CCGUUAACGAACGAGAACUUAACCUGCUAUUUAGUCGCUCGGUCUCUGUCCUUGCGCACUUCAUAGAGGGACUCUGCGGCGUCAAGCUGCGGUGAGGUUUAAGGCAAUAACAGGUCUGUGAUGCCCUUAGAUGUCCUGGGCUGCACGCGCGCUACACUGAUGCUUGCCUCGUGUUUACCCUCGGCCGAUAGGCCCUGGUAACCCCUAGUCUGCAUCGUGUUUGGGAUUGAUCUUUGCAAUUCUAGAUCAUGAACGAGGAAUGCCUAGUAUGCGCAAGUCAUCAGCUUGUGCAGAUUACGUCCCUGCCCUUUGUACACACCGCCCGUCGCUCCUACCGAUCGAGUGAUCCGGUGAAUUAUUCGGAACCUGCCUGCGCGAUCCGUCGCCGCUCGCGGGCCAAGUUUUGUGAACCUUAACACUUAAAGGAAGUAGAAGUCGUAACAAGGUU